rnacentral:tRNA from 1 species
GCGGGUAUAGCUCAGUGGUAGAGUGCACGUCUAGCAUGCAUGGGUCCUGGGUUCAAUCCUCAGUAUCUCCA